GAUGAACGCUGGCGGCGUGCCUAAUACAUGCAAGUCGAGCGAACGGACGAGAAGCUUGCUUCUCUGAUGUUAGCGGCGGACGGGUGAGUAACACGUGGAUAACCUCCCUAUAAGACUGGGAUAACUUCGGGAAACCGGAGCUAAUACCGGAUAAUAUUUUGAACCGCAUGGUUCAAAAGUGAAAGACGGUCUUGCUGUCACUUAUCGAUGGAUCCGCGCUGCAUUAGCUAGUUGGUAAGGUAACGGCUUACCAAGGCAACGAUGCAUAGCCGACCUGAGAGGGUGAUCGGCCACACUGGAGCUGGGACACGGUCCAGACUCCUACGGUAGGCAGCAGUAGGGAAUCUUCCGCAAUGGGCGAAAGCCUGACGGAGCAACGCCGCGUGAGUGAUGAAGGUCUUCGGAUCGUAAAACUCUGUUAUGGGUGAAGAACAUAUGUGGAAGUAACUGUGCACAUCUUGACGGUACCUAAUAAGAAAGCCACGGCUAACUACGUG
rnacentral:rRNA from 1 species